ACUCCUACGGGAGGCAGCAGUGGGGAAUAUUGCACAAUGGGCGCAAGCCUGAUGCAGCCAUGCCGCGUGUAUGAAGAAGGCCUUCGGGUUGUAAAGUACUUUCAGCAGUGGAGGAGGAUGAUAGUUAAUAGCAUAUUCAUUUGACGUUAGCUGCAGAAGAAGCACCGGCUAACUCCGUGCCAGCAGCCGCGGUAAUACGGAGGGUGCGAGCGUUAAUCGGAAUUACUGGGCGUAAAGCGCAUGCAGGUGGUUUGUUAAGUCAGAUGUGAAAGCCCGGGGCUCAACCUCGGAAUUGCAUUUGAAACUGGCAAACUAGAGUACUGUAGAGGGGGGUAGAAUUUCAGGUGUAGCGGUGAAAUGCGUAGAGAUCUGAAGGAAUACCGGUGGCGAAGGCGGCCCCCUGGACAGAUACUGACACUCAGAUGCGAAAGCGUGGGGAGCAAACAGGAUUAGAUACCCUGGUAGCUACGAGU
rnacentral:rRNA from 1 species